UAAGGAUAAUGUUGAUAAGGAUAAUGGUUUUAUGACUUUCUUGAAAAUUUUCUGGUUCUUAUAACAAUACACAUUUGGAAACAUUGGUUUUAUUGUGAAGGCUUUGACUAGAAUGUCAUAUUUGAGAAUGUACAUAGAAUACCUGGCUUUAAAGUGUUCCCAGCCUUUCAGUGAGUAAAAAUGUCAUUUCUUGGCAGGCCCAGGAACUUCAAGAUAUUUUGAGGACCUUGAGAAGAGAGGAAUUCACCCAAAUUUACAAGUGUUACAGACACAGCCUGAUAGUCACAGAUUUGUAAGAAAAUUGAAGAGUGUGAUUUACAGCUAGUGCUGCCCUGUGGUGGUGUGGACCCAGACUUCAGGCACAAAGAUCACCGAUUUCACACAUCUGAUAGAUAAAUGAAGAAUUCAGAACCUGAUCAUAAGUUCAAGACAAGCUGCAAAAAAAGGAAGAAAAAUCCAAAGACCUUGGAAUAUAAUUCCAGCACCGUCAAACCCAGGAACAUGGACCCACAGGUUGAUCACGAAUUCCAGGACCUCCUUCACCACAUCCAAAGGCAAGUGGAGAGACAUUCCCAUCACCAUCUCUACCAGCACCACCUCUACCCGGAGGAGUUUCUCCUCCUCUUCCAACUCUUUCACCUGUACUAAAUGAUAAACCAUCACCACUAUCACCACCACUUUCAUUGGGGGAUGACAUGCUCUGGGAUUAUUGCCUGCUCUAACUUAACAAUGAGGCAGAAAUAAAAUGUAUACAACCUGAA